UACGAAGGGUGCAAGCGUUACUCGGAAUUAUUGGGCGUAAAGAGCUCGUAGGCGGUUUGUCGCGUCUGCUGUGAAAACCUAAGGCUCAACCUUGGGCUUGCAGUGGGUACGGGCAGACUAGAGUGCGGUAGGGGUGACUGGAAUUCCUGGUGUAGCGGUGGAAUGCGCAGAUAUCAGGAGGAACACCGGUGGCGAAGGCGGUGGUCUGGGCCGGCACUGACGCUGAGGAGCGAAAGCGUGGGGAGCGAACAGG
rnacentral:rRNA from 1 species